rnacentral:rRNA from 1 species
AGUGAACGCUGGCGGUAGGCCUAACACAUGCAAGUCGAACGGCAGCACAGUAAGAGCUUGCUCUUACGGGUGGCGAGUGGCGGACGGGUGAGGAAUACAUCGGAAUCUACUUUUUCGUGGGGGAUAACGUGGGGAAACUUACGCUAAUACCGCAUACGACCUACGGGUGAAAGCAGGGGAUCUUCGGACCUUGCGCGAUUGAAUGAGCCGAUGUCGGAUUAGCUAGUUGGCGGGGUAAAGGCCCACCAAGGCGACGAUCCGUAGCUGGUCUGAGAGGCUGAUCAGCCACACUGGAACUGAGACACGGUCCAGACUCCUACGGGAGGCAGCAGUGGGGAAUAUUGGACAAUGGGCGCAAGCCUGAUCCAGCCAUACCGCGUGGGUGAAGAAGGCCUUCGGGUUGUAAAGCCCUUUUGUUGGGAAAGAAAAGCAGCAGGUUAAUACCCCGCUGUUCUGACGGUACCCAAAGAAUAAGCACCGGCUAACUUCGUG